rnacentral:rRNA from 1 species
AUUGAACGCUGGCGGCAGGCCUAACACAUGCAAGUCGAACGGUAACAUUUCUAGCUUGCUAGAAGAUGACGAGUGGCGGACGGGUGAGUAAUGCUUGGGAACUUGCCUUUGCGAGGGGGAUAACAGUUGGAAACGACUGCUAAUACCGCAUAAUGUCUUCGGACCAAACGGGGCUUCGGCUCCGGCGCAAAGAGAGGCCCAAGUGAGAUUAGCUAGUUGGUAAGGUAACGGCUUACCAAGGCGACGAUCUCUAGCUGUUCUGAGAGGAAGAUCAGCCACACUGGGACUGAGACACGGCCCAGACUCCUACGGGAGGCAGCAGUGGGGAAUAUUGCACAAUGGGGGAAACCCUGAUGCAGCCAUGCCGCGUGUGUGAAGAAGGCCUUCGGGUUGUAAAGCACUUUCAGUUGUGAGGAAAAGUUAGUAGUUAAUACCUGCUAGCCGUGACGUUAACAACAGAAGAAGCACCGGCUAACUCCGUGCCAGCAGCCGCGGUAAUACGGAGGGUGCGAGCGUUAAUCGGAAUUACUGGGCGUAAAGCGCACGCAGGCGGUUUGUUAAGCUAGAUGUGAAAGCCCCGGGCUCAACCUGGGAUGGUCAUUUAGAACUGGCAGACUAGAGUCUUGGAGAGGGGAGUGGAAUUCCAGGUGUAGCGGUGAAAUGCGUAGAUAUCUGGAGGAACAUCAGUGGCGAAGGCGACUCCCUGGCCAAAGACUGACGCUCAUGUGCGAAAGUGUGGGUAGCGAACAGGAUUAGAUACCCUGGUAGUCCACACCGUAAACGCUGUCUACUAGCUGUGUGUGUCUUUAAGACGUGCGUAGCGAAGCUAACGCGCUAAGUAGACCGCCUGGGGAGUACGGCCGCAAGGUUAAAACUCAAAUGAAUUGACGG